UUAUUAUUAUUGCUGUUUGACAGAUGAAAAACUGACAUGGAGAAAAGUUAGACAAUUCCUCCAAAUCACAAAGAUAAUGCCUAGAUCUAGAAGCCAAACAGAUGGGUUGAAGGUGAUACCUAAUUUUAACAUUUGAUGACUCCUGCCAAAUUACCCUCUGAAAAGAAUUUAACAAUUUAUAUUCCUUCCACAUCAUUGCCUCUUUCCCCACAUCAUAAUAUUUGUUCAACUGAGAGAGUGCUUAACUCAGGAGAUCAAUAAAGGUUCAUAGAGGAAGAAGUAUUUGAAAUUGUCCUGGAAGAACAAUAUUUUUCAACAGGCAGAGAUGGAGAAAGGACAAUCUACAUGAACAGAACAGCAUGAGCAAAAAGAACUGGUAGAAAUAUAUUGAGCUUAUUCUUGAAAAUAGCUAGCAGUUUACUCCUCCUUUCUUUUGUAUACUAACAGCAGCACACUGAACAAACUGUUCUGUCAUCUUGUUUUUAUCACUUACCAUAUCUUUGAAAUAUUUCCAUAACCAUCAUAAGGAGUAUCCCUAUUGCUUUUUGAGCAAUGCAUAGAAUUCCAUUUUGUGUGAAUAUCAUAAUUUAUCACUCUUCUAUUUUUAUCACUCCUCUGUUGAUGAUGACUUCCAGUCUUUUGAUAAUAUAAACAGUGCUGUAGUAAAUAAAGUUCUGUAUAUGUCUUUUCCCACAGGUUAGAGACUAUCCAUAGGAUAAAUUUCUAGCAAAUUGCUGAGUCCAGGAUAUGCAUGUUUGCAAUUUUGGAAGAUCUUAAAAACUUGCCUCCUAUAGGUGUUGUACCAGUAUAUACUUCUGCCAGUAAUAGAUGGGUGGGCUGCUGAUGCCUCAAAAUGUAAGUAUUUUCAAACUUUUAAAUUUUAGCCCAUUUAACAUAAUUUAAAAAUUAUGUCUCUGUGUGAUUUUAGUUCCAUUUCCCUUAUUAUAUAUAAGACUGAACAUCUUGGCAUAUGUUUAAGGGCCAUCUGCAUUUCCUUUUCUGUGCACUGUCAGCUUAUAUGCUUUGCCCAUUUUUUCUAGUAGAUGGUUAGUGUUUUUCUUAUUGAUUUGUAUAUAUUCUGUAUUACUCCUUUAUCACAUUGCCACAAAGAAAUGCCUGAGAUGGUGUCAUUUAUAGAGAAAAGAGGUUUAAUUGGCUCACAGUUCCACAGGCUAUACAGGAAGCAUGGCUGAGGAGGCCUCAGGAAACUUAACAAUCAUGGCAGAAGGUGAAGGGGAAGCAGGCACAUCUACACAUGGCCAGAGCAGGAGGAAGAGAGAGAAGGAAGAGGUGCUACACCCUUUUAAGCAACCAGAUCUUGUGAGAUCUCACUAUCGUGAGAAUAGCAAGGAGGAAAUCUGCCCCCAUGAUUCAGUCACCUCCUGCCAGACCCCUCCUCCAACAUUAGGGAUUACAAUUCGACACGAGAUUGCCGGUGGGACACAAAUCCAAACCAUAUCAUAUUCUUUAUACAUUUGGGAAAUUAACUUUUUUCUGUAAUAUGAUUUACAAAUAUUUUUCUCAGAUUGGCAUUUGUUUUUUGACUUUUCAUAUUGUGCAUUUUGCCAUGGGAAGUUUUUUUUGUCAUUAAAUUUACCUAUUCUUUCAUUCAUAUGGCUUCUGGGUCCUAUAUUAUACUUAGACCUUUACCAUUCUGAAAUUAUGUAAGAAAAAUUCUCUCAGGGUUUUUUCCUAGUAAUUUUAAGACUUUACUUUUAAUAUUUUGGAUUUAUCCAGAUGUAGACUAUAAGAUAAGGAUCCACAUUUUUUCCCCAGCUCUACAUUUUGCUGCUAGAAGAUUUUACAAAAUUUUGCAAUUACUUAGUAACUUACAUUUCUUCCCAAUUGAUUUUGAAAUCUGUAAGAGCAGAAACUUUGAUUUCAUAUUUUUAUUCUCUCACAUGCCUGCCCUUUAAUGCACUUCAACCCCAGCCCCAAGUUUUGCCUAGUACUUGGCAGUUAGGUAGUUGUUACUUCUGCAUCUCUUGACUGCUGGGGAGGAAAGAUUCCACCUGAGUUAAGGCAAGUCCUACCCAGGAUGUGGCUGCAAAUGAGACUGCAAAGUUCUCGACCGAUGUCUUUUCAUUAAACUCUGGCUUUUACCAAGUACAAGUACCAAGUGAGUCAUACCGACACAUGUAGAGGAUGGCAUCCUGAGGGGAAAAGAAUUAUAGUGGAAAUAACCAAGGCUGCUUGGAGAAAAGCUUCUCAGCUGGCACUGCAGAACAGCAGCCACUGCCACAGCAAACAGCAAAACAAUAACAAGCUUACUUGCAGAAGGUGGGAAGCUGCAGACGUAAAUGCAGGCUCCCUUCCCAGGCUACCAGCAGUCCCUGGGGAUGAAGUAGUCUAAAUGGGCAGCAGUUGUGGAGUCCUCCCCGCUCACAGGAAUGGAAGAUGUCACUCACUAGCAGAAGUGCUCUGGGGUGGCAAUGAGGAGUACUGUCUUUGGACUCUGACAGGAACAUCUGGAUGGCACCAGGCUCAGGGAGACGGGUCUUGUGUGUCCUGCUAAGCACUAACAGCAAUAAUUGAGCAGCAGCAAUCUGCCUCACAUCAUUCUAGGCCCUAGGAGGGCACAAAGUUGGUUCUUGGCUCAGGUUAUCAGGAAAGUAACGUAUGUGCGUACAAAUAAAGUGUCCAACAGCAGAAAGGGAUGCCCUGAACAGUCCAGGUUGCACAAAGGAGUAUGGACAAACAAGUAGUUUCAUCCAGCUGGGAGCACUAGGAAAGCUCAGAAGGAGGAUGCCUCCAGGAGCCAGUGAGUGUAUUCUGUCACCAGGUGCCUUGGAGAGUGGAGGAUCUGGAGGGCACUUUUUGAGGCUGAUAGGAAGAAAGCAGACGGGUGGAGUGGUAGAUGGAAUGACGCCCUCACCCUCUGCAAUGUUCACAUUCUAAUCCCUGAGAUAUGUGAAUAUGUUACUCUAGCUGACAAAAGGGACUUUGCAGAUGUGAUUAAGGAUUUUGAGCUGGGGAGGUGACUCUGAAUUACAUGAAUGGGCCCAGUAUAAUCACAAGGGUCCUUAUAAUAGGGAGACUGGAGUGUCAGAGUCACAGAUGAGCUGUGAUGAUGGACGCAGUGGUGAGAGAGAGAUGUGAAGAUGGAAGGAGAGGGCCAUGGGCCAAGGAAUGUGGGUGGUCUCUAAAAGCUGGAAAAGGCAAGAAAAUGGAUCCUCCCCUAGAGACUCCAGCAGGAACAAAACCCUGCUGACACCUUGACUGUAGGACUUCCAACCUCCAGAACUAUAAAAUAAUAAAUUCAUGUUGUUUUAAACCACUAAGAUUGUCGUAAUUUGUUACAACAGCCAUGGGAAAUGAGCACAGGUGGAUUAGACACUUCAAGAGAUGUAAUUUCUUUGUGUAAUUCUUUCUGGGAAGCUCCAUGAA
rnacentral:lncRNA from 1 species